AGUAAUGUAAAGGGGUGCUUAUAUUAAUAGGCUGAGAUAGGAAUGUUAUUUCUGACCCUAAGAACCUGAUUUGGGUAAUUCCAACGGAGGGAUUUGGCUAAUUUGUUAU
rnacentral:ncRNA from 2 species